GGAGUUGUUUCGAGGCUGGCGUUGUGGGGCUAAAGGCCCGCAGGCCGAAUGAACAAGUCGCAUAAACAAAUUUACUACUCGGACAAAUAUGACCAUGAAGAAUGUGAAUACAGGCAUGUCAUGUUGCCCAAGGAUAUAGCCAAGCUGGUUCCUAAAACCCACUUGAUGUCUGAAUCUGAAUGGAGGAAUCUUGGUGUUCAGCAGAGUCAGGAAUGGGUCCAUUAUAUGAUCCAUGAACCAGAACCUCUUGUCUUGCUGCUCCGACGGCCGCUACCCAAGAAGCCAAACAAAUGAAGCUGGCAAGCCACCUUUCAACCUCAAGCUAUACACAGCUGUCCUUCCUGCCUGAUGUCUUUCUGAUAAUACGACUAUGUUGCCUUCUCUUUUCUCAUUUUGAUAUUUAAAGGAUGUUCAAUACACUGUUUGAAUGUGCUGAUGACUGCCUUGCCUCUUGAGUGGGACCACAGCUCUGCUUGUGAGUCUCUGGGCUGCAGAUAAGCCGAGUCUGACCCGAGGAGCCGCAGUGUACUCUGUUUCCAGCAGAACACACCAGACAGGUAGAAGAAGCAUCUGAGAAGCAGACCAUGGCUUUUAGGGGAUUGUGUAAACUUGCUGUU